CCAUGAAAACAUCAAGACAACGAAGAAGAGGACCCAUAACAUAUUUUAGAAUUAUUUAGAAUGUAAUAAAUAUACUCAAGAAAGAGAGAUGUUGUGUAGAGAAUUAGGCAGGAAUAAAAAUAAAUUAGAAACAAGGGAAUUGUUUGAGAGGUCAUCUGGGGAUGUAGCUUUUGGGAGUAUUUUUAGUUUUCUAAGAAGAACGGGUGUUUAGAGAGAAUCUAAUAGAUUGUCUGAUCCAUACUCCAUUCUGGAAGGUGGCGGUAAUGCACCUAUAAGUUGUUUGCCAACCGCCAUUAAAAAAAGAGAAGAAGAAGAAGAAGAAGAAGAAGAAGACCCACACAACGGCACAUGGUGGUGAAAAAGCCGUGCUCGCUAUUCCGAGGAGACCAGCUGUUCAACAGACUUCAUCUUCGCAGCAGAGGAAGGUCAGACCAAAAGUUGGGGAGUAACAAGAGGAGGGUGGAAACCCAGAUGAUGAUGAUCUUCUGGAAUGACUGGCUGAUGGAGGCGGAUGGCUGCUGCUCUUUCGCCAAGAUAAAAUACCAAAUGCUGCGCACUAUUUUGGGAAUUCUCAAAUGAUUGGCUCAGGAACCAGGAAGGAACACGGCCGGUGAGACUGGGACAAAUUUGAAUUUCUUGCAUGGACAACAUCCCACUGCUUGGCUUUUCUACCUCUCCGAUGAUUUAAUUCUUGCAUAGCGAGGACGCGUGAUCCUGCGGCUGCCUGUUCACCCUACAUACAACCUCUUUGUCGGAUACAUGGGAGUGUGGCAUCUUGCAGUCCCCUAUAUUUGGUUUAAUCUGAGUAUAUAGCUAUUGACAAGUUGAGCAGUAAAAGUUAGGAUUUAUACAGUUUUGGUGUUUUUCUUACCAGAUGCUGUAUCAUCAUUCCUGUGUUCAUAUCACUUUGAAAUGUUUUGUUGGUCAAUUUCAAAGUAAACAAACCAUUGCAAACUUUU